rfam:Candidatus Melainabacteria bacterium GWA2_34_9 gwa2_scaffold_3868, whole genome shotgun sequence.
GGUAAAGCUACUAAGAGCAAACGGUGGAUGCCUUGGCAUCAGAAGCCGAAGAAGGACGUGCAAAGCUGCGAUAAGCUGCGGGGAGCUGCUAAGAAGCCUUGAUCCGUAGAUGUCCGAAUGAGGAAACUCUGUGGUGGUAAUGCACCACAAUCCAUACCUGAAUACAUAGGGUAUAGGAAGGAAAGCCUGUGAACUGAAACAUCUUAGUAACAGGACGAAUAGAAAACAAACUAGUGAUUCCCCUAGUAGCGGCGAGCGGACGGGGAACAGCCCAAACUGUCUACAUGUGAUAGCUUACAGGUGUUGUGUAGAUGGGGUUGCGGGACUUUCAGUCGGAGCUGUAAAUUCGACAUAGAGUCAGAAAAUUGUUAAUUAGAUGAACUCAACUGGAAAGUUGGACCAUAGGAAGUGAUAGUCUUGUAAUUUAAAAUUGACAAUCUCUAGAAAGUAUCCCAAGUAAGUCGGAGCACGAGAAAUUCUGACUGAAUCUGCCGGGACCAUCCGGUAAGGCUAAAUACUAUCUGAUGACCGAUAGCGUACAAGUACAGUGAUGGAAAGGCGAAAAGAACAGUGGAAAGCUGAGUGAAAUAGAACCUGAAACCGUUUGCUUACAAUCAGCGGGAGCACUAUUGAUAGUGUGACCGCGUGCCUGUUGAAGAAUGAGCCGGCGAGUUACCUUAUGUAGUUUGGUUAAGGGGUUAAUACCCGGAGCCAUAGGGAAACCGAGUCUGAAUAGGGCGAAUUUAUUACAUGAGGUAGACCCGAACCUAGGUGAUCUAACCAUGGCCAGGAUGAAGCGCAGGUGACACUGCGUGAAGGUCCGAACCCAAGAAUGUUGAAAAAUUCUGGGAUGAGUUGUGGUUAGCGGAGAAAUUCCAAUCGAACCUAGAGCUAGCUGGUUCUCCCCGAAAUGCGUUUAGGCACAGCGUCUAGUUUAUCCCCCCGGGGGUAGAGCACUAGUUUGGUGCGGGCCCAGAAACUGGGUACCAAAUCAAGUUAAACUCCGAAUACCGGGAAGGUCAUUACUAGGCAGUGAGACUACGAGAGAUAAGUUCCGUGGUCAAGAGGGAAACAGCCCAGACCGCCAUCUAAGGUCCCUAAGUAUAUGCUAAGUGAUUAACGAGGUGAAAUUGCAUUGACAACCAGGAGGUUGGCUUAGAAGCAGCCAUCCCUUGAAAGAGUGCGUAAUAGCUCACUGGUCAAGCGAUUUUGCGCGGAAAAUAUAACGGGGCUAAGCAUAUCACCGAAGUUGCGGAUGCAAACUUUUAGUUUGCGUGGUAGGGGAGCGUUCUGUUGUAGGUUGAAGUCAGAUCGUAAGGACUGAUGGACGAAGCAGAAGCGAGAAUGUCGGCAUGAGUAGCGAAAACAUUGGUGAGAAUCCAAUGCACCGAAAACCUAAGGUUUCCCACGGCAGGCUCGUCCGCGUGGGGUUAGUCGGAACCUAAGCUGAGGCUGAAAAGCGUAGGCGAUGGAUAAUAGGUUGAUAUUCCUAUACCAUGAUAGUGUCGUUACUAUCAGCGGAGGGACGCAGAAGGUUAAGUAUGCUAGCGAUUGGUUGUGCUAGUUUAAGCGUGUAGGUAGUCAAAGCAGGCAAAUCCACUUUGGCGUUAUAAACUGAGGCGUGAUGAGGAUCUUCCACGGAAGAGUAGAUACUGACACCACACUGCCGAGAAAAGCUUCGCAUGAGAGAUACUAUUAUGUCCGUACCGUAAACCGCCACAGGUAGGUUGGCAGAGAAUGCUAAGGUGCGCGAGAUAACACAAGUUAAGGAACUCGGCAAAAUAGCCUUGUAACUUCGGGAGAAAAGGUACCCUGGUACUGUGAUGUAGACAAGCACUACAAAGCAGGAUAGGGUCGCAGCGAAUAGGCCCAGGCGACUGUUUACCAAAAACACAGGUCUCUGCUAAGUCGAAAGACGAUGUAUAGGGGCUGACGCCUGCCCAGUGCCGGAAGGUUACGUGGAAGGGUUAGCAGCAAUGCGAAGCUCUGAAACUAAGCCCCGGUGAACGGCGGCCGUAACUAUAACGGUCCUAAGGUAGCGAAAUUCCUUGUCAGGUAAGUUCUGACCCGCACGAAAGGCGUAACGAUCUGGGCGCUGUCUCAACUUGUGACUCGGCGAAAUUGGAUUAACCGUGAAGAUACGGUUUACACAUACCAGGACAGAAAGACCCUAUUGAGCUUUACUGUAGCUUGCAAUUGAAUACGGAUUGUGUUUGUGCAGGAUAGGUGGGAGGCUUUGAAGCAGCGCCGUCAGGUGUUGUGGAGCCAUCGUUGAGAUACCACUCUGACACAAUUUGGAUUCUAACCAUAAACCACUAAUAUCUGGUUUUGGGACAGUUUCAGGUAGGCAGUUUGACUGGGGCGGUCGCCUCCUAAAGAGUAGCGGAGGCGCCCAAAGGUUCCCUCAGGUUGGUCGGAAAUCAACCUUCGAGUGUAAAGGCAUAAGGGAGCUUGACUGCAAGACUUACAAGUCGAGCAGGUACGAAAGUAGGGCUUAGUGAUCCGGCGGCACAGUAUGGAAUGGCCGUCGCUCAACGGAUAAAAGUUACCAUAGGGAUAACAGGCUUAUCUCCCCCAAGAGUCCACAUCGACGGGGAGGUUUGGCACCUCGAUGUCGGCUCGUCGCAUCCUGGAGCGGUAGUACGUUCCAAGGGUUGGGCUGUUCGCCCAUUAAAGCGGCACGCGAGCUGGGUUCAGAACGUCGUGAGACAGUUCGGUCCAUAUCCGGUAUGUGCGCAAGAGAAUUGAGUGGAGUCGUCCUUAGUACGAGAGGACCGGGACGAACGAACCUCCGGUGUACCAGUUGUUCUGCCAAGAGCAAAUGCUGGGUAGCUGCGUUCGGAGAGGAUAAGUGCUGAAAGCAUAUAAGUACGAAGCCCACCACAAGAUGAGUUCUCUCAUAGCAUAAGCUAGUAAGACCCCGGGAAGAAAAUCCGGUUGAUAGGUCAGAGUUAGAAGUGUGGCAACACAUGCAGACGACUGAUACUAAUAGGUCGAGGGCUUUUCCUA